rnacentral:lncRNA from 1 species
CUCGUCAAGUCGGUUCUCGCGGAUGAGAUGGUCAACGGCAAACAACCCAGACGCCACGACCUCCUCGGCGGCACGCUGUGCCCCGUCAUAGUCGCCAAUGACAUGCCACUGUUGGUGUGCUGCCGUACUUUGGCUUGCGCGGUCAACGGGCGCUUCCCUCGCCGCGUGGACGAUAAAGCGCAUCACCAGGUUGGCCCAGGCGCUGCCCAGGCGCGAACAGCGCUCGAUUGUAUAGUCUCUCGCAUAGAGUGGGGCGUGCACCCACACGGCUUCCAUACGUCGCAUGGCGUCCUCGAUGCGCAUCCUAUCAGUCGGGUCGUCGCUGGCGGCGAUUGGUACAGCCAAAAGGGCCAAUGCGGCCAGCGCACGCAAGAGGGGAACAUCGGUCUCGGCAACGACCGUACGGGCUUGUUCCCAACCGCCAACGACAUUGGCGGGACAAUAGUCUGGUUGUCUGAGAAUCCACUGGACGAUCUCGCGGUGGUCCAAAAGGGCCGCGUCGUACAGGCACGCGGCCCAGUCGAUUGGCGGCGCCGACGCCGAUUGAUGGGCCACGGCGUAUUCGAGACCGACCAUGUUGCCCGCAGCGCACAUGCCCUCGACGGUGGCAUCGGCGUAAAAGCGCGCAGCAAGGUCGGUGGGCGUCAGGACGUGAAAACAGCGGGCGGCACAGAGGCACGCAUAAAGAUCGUGGUCGGAUGGACAGCACAAGAGCACCUCGCGCCACAAUUCGGGUGGCAAUGUGGCCCAUAGCGGCGCCUGGUUGUCGUCGGCUGUUGGUGUCGUCGCCAUCGGUGCGAUCCCUUUUUUCCUACUUUUUUGUCCUCGUUUUUUUUCGGCUUUAUGUUUUGCUCUCCCUUUUUUUUGUCCUGUCGUCGCUUCAGCCAGUGACCGUGUGUGCGGCACACAAAGGGAAAGACCAAUGCCAGCAAAGACACGCAAACUCGGCGGAAACCGCGAGCCAGAGGCCAUGCAAACCGCACGAUCGAGAAAUCCACCGACAGCAUGGGUGGCCGCUGCUUCGGCGCAGCCCGCCAAUGAAAAAAAAUCAUUAUGCGCUGUGCACAAAAAAAAAAGACGACGCCCUCUCGUCGGCCACGUCCGCCUCUGCUCAUGUGUCUUUGUGGCCUUGUUUACCGUGGCGCUGUCGGGAUCCAGACAGG